rnacentral:rRNA from 1 species
CGGGCGUUAAGUUGCAGGGUAUAGACCCGAAACCCGGUGAUCUAGCCAUGGGCAGGUUGAAGGUUGGGUAACACUAACUGGAGGACCGAACCGACUAAUGUUGAAAAAUUAGCGGAUGACCUGUGGCUGGGGGUGAAAGGCCAAUCAAACCGGGAGAUAGCUGGUUCUCCCCGAAAGCUAUUUAGGUAGCGCCUCGUGAAUUCAUCUCCGGGGGUAGAGCACUGUUUCGGCUAGGGGGCCAUCCCGGCUUACCAACCCGAUGCAAACUGCGAAUACCGGAGAAUGUUAUCACGGGAGACACACGGCGGGUGCUAACGUCCGUCGUGAAGAGGGAAACAACCCAGACCGCCAGCUAAGGUCCCAAAGUCAUGGUUAAGUGGGAAACGAUGUGGGAAGGCCCAGACAGCCAGGAUGUUGGCUUAGAAGCAGCCAUCAUUUAAAGAAAGCGUAAUAGCUCACUGGUCGAGUCGGCCUGCGCGGAAGAUGUAACGGGGCUAAACCAUGCACCGAAGCUGCGGCAGCGACGCUUAUGCGUUGUUGGGUAGGGGAGCGUUCUGUAAGCCUGUGAAGGUGGCCUGUGAGGGUUGCUGGAGGUAUCAGAAGUGCGAAUGCUGACAUAAGUAACGAUAAAGCGGGUGAAAAGCCCGCUCGCCGGAAGACCAAGGGUUCCUGUCCAACGUUAAUCGGGGCAGGGUGAGUCGACCCCUAAGGCGAGGCCGAAAGGCGUAGUCGAUGGGAAACGGGUUAAUAUUCCCGUACUUGGUGUUACUGCGAAGGGGGGACGGAGAAGGCUAUGUUGGCCGGGCGACGGUUGUCCCGGUUUAAGCGUGUAGGUGUGUGUUCCAGGUAAAUCCGGUUCACUUUAACACUGAGGCGUGAUGACGAGGCACUACGGUGCUGAAGCAACAAAUGCCCUGCUUCCAGGAAAAGCCUCUAAGCAUCAGGUAACAUCAAAUCGUACCCCAAACCGACACAGGUGGUCAGGUAGAGAAUACCAAGGCGCUUGAGAGAACUCGGGUGAAGGAACUAGGCAAAAUGGUGCCGUAACUUCGGGAGAAGGCACGCUGACAUGUAGGUGAAGUGAUUUACUCAUGGAGCUGAA